GUCAGUGAAGGUAAACUGGCUGCCACAUCUGUCACCCCAUUGGUCAACAGGGUUGAUUGGGCUGAUCUGGCUGGCUAGUCAGGUGUCCCUUCCUCCCUCACGGCUCCAUGUACACCCAUCCUGAAGUUGGGCACUUGGUCAAACAGGGUGAGCUUCCCUGAACAGAGGAUGGCCGGUCUUCAGUCAAGGGUAUACGAGUAGCUGUUCUCCGCUGUUAGAACCUUCAAAAAAGCUGAGACCUGUCUUAUCAGACUACAUACUGACUGGCAUCAGAACACUUCUGUCUUUUGUUCAAAAGAC
ensembl:misc_RNA 7SK 7SK RNA